rnacentral:misc_RNA from 1 species
GAUGAAGAACGUAGCGAAAUGCGAUACUUGGUGUGAAUUGCAGAAUCCCGUGAACCAUCGAGUCUUUGAACGCAAGUUGCGCCCGAAGCCAUCAGGUUGAGGGCACGUCUGCCUGGGCGUCACAUAUCGUUGCCCAAUGCCUAUUGCAGUGCAAUAGGAAUUUCUAGGGCGAAUGAUGGCUUCCCGUGAGCGUUGUUGCCUCGCGGUUGGUUGAAAAUCGAGUCCUUGGUAGGGUGUGCCAUGGUAGAUGGUGGUCGAGUUAGAACGAUACCGAUCAUGUGCAUGCUCCCCAAAAUAUGGCCUCUAUGACCCACACGCGUCUUUUGACGCUCAUGACGAGACCUCAGGUCAGGCGGGACUACCCGCUGAAUUUAAGCAUAUCAAUAAGCGGAGGA